rnacentral:rRNA from 1 species
GACGAACGCUGGCGGCGUGCCUAAUACAUGCAAGUCGAACGCUGAAGGAGGAGCUUGCUCUUCUGGAUGAGUUGCGAACGGGUGAGUAACGCGUAGGUAACCUGCCUGGUAGCGGGGGAUAACUAUUGGAAACGAUAGCUAAUACCGCAUAACAGUAGAUGCUGCAUGACAUUUGCUUAAAAGGUGCAAUUGCAUCACUACCAGAUGGACCUGCGUUGUAUUAGCUAGUUGGUGGGGUAACGGCUCACCAAGGCGACGAUACAUAGCCGACCUGAGAGGGUGAUCGGCCACACUGGGACUGAGACACGGCCCAGACUCCUACGGGAGGCAGCAGUAGGGAAUCUUCGGCAAUGGACGGAAGUCUGACCGAGCAACGCCGCGUGAGUGAAGAAGGUUUUCGGAUCGUAAAGCUCUGUUGUAAGAGAAGAACGAGUGUGAGAGUGGAAAGUUCACACUGUGACGGUAUCUUACCAGAAAGGGACGGCUAACUACGU